CACAAUGAUGACAGUUUAUUUGCUACUCUUGAGUGCUAGAAUGAUGAGGAUCUUAACCACCAUUAUCUUAACUGAGGCACCCAAAAUGGUGAGUUGGGGAACAUAGAGAGUACACCUAAGUUCACAUGAAGUUGUUUCUUCCCAGGUCCUAAAGAGCAAGCCUAACUCAAGCCAUUGGCACACAGGUGAGACACCUCUAUUUUGUACUUCUCACUUUUAAGGGAUUAGAAAAUAGCCAAAGCAAUGAUGAUUAUCUAUGUUAGUGCUUCUCUCCCCUCUUUUCAAAUGAGAAUUUUGCUCUCAUAUUGAUACUAAGUUUAAUACUGAAGAAAAUGUGAAAACAGAUACUAUGAUGGUUGCAUAGUUCAGCAGAUUUAAUCAUGAAGAGAUGUACUAUCUGUCUGAUGUAUCUGGGGUAGUUGUGGUUUGCUGUUAAUGGUUAAGCAGUGUACCACCAAUCUACCAUUAAAAUAUUUUUUGCUGACAAUUUUGUAUUAAAAUUACAGGCAUUAGACAGAAAGCUGGAAGUUGAAAUGGUGGAGUCCAACUUGCCUGGACCAGCUUAAUGGUUCUGCUCCUGGUAACGUUUUUAUCCAUGGAUGACUUGCUUGGGUAUGGAGAGUCGGCUUGACUACACUGUGUGGAGCAAGUUUUAAAGAAGCAAAGGACUCAGAAUUCAUGAUUGAAGAAAUGCAGGGUUUUUAAUGACCACAACAAGCAAGCAUGCAGCUUACUGCUUGAAAGGGUCUUGCCUCACCCAAGCUAGAGUGCAGUGGCCUUUGAAGCUUACUACAGCCUCAAACUUCUGGGCUCAAGUGAUCCUCAGCCUCCCAGUGGUCUUUGUAGACUGCCUGAUGGAGUCUCAUGGCACAAGAAGAUUAAAACAGUGUCUCCAAUUUUAAUAAAUUUUUGCAAUCCA
rnacentral:lncRNA from 1 species